rnacentral:lncRNA from 1 species
GGUUAGGGUUAGGGUUAGGGGUUAGGGUUAGGGUUAGGGUUAGGGUUAGGGUUAGGGUUUAGGGUUAGGGUUAGGGUUAGGGUUAGGGUUAGGGUUAGGGUUAGGGGUUAGGGUUAGGGUUAGGGUUAGGGUUAGGGUUAGGGUUAGGGUUAGGGUUAGGGUUAGGGUUAGGGUUAGGGUUAGGGUUAGGGUUAGGGUUAGGGUUAGGGUUAGGGUUAGGGUUAGGGUUAGGGUUAGGGUUAGGGGUUAGGGUUAGGGUUAGGGUUAGGGUUAGGGUUAGGGUUAGGGUUAGGGGUUAGGGUUAGGGUUAGGGUUAGGGUUAGGGUUAGGGUUAGGGUUAGGGUUAGGGUUAGGGUUAGGGUUAGGGUUAGGGUUAGGGGUUAGGGUUAGGGUUAGGGUUAGGGUUAGGGUUAGGGUUAGGAUAUAGGGAUAUGUGCCACUUUUGACAUGCCGGUUCAUUGCCUUUCCCAAUGAUGAACCGGGCUGAGAUUUGGUCUACCCCCCCAUUUUCGGGUAUGCUGAAUCUAGAAAUAGUAAUGAACCAGCGAUCGGACAUUCCUAUCAAAAGUUAUGGCGAAGUGAAAAUUUCCCAUUGAAAAUGAAUGGGAGCGGAAAAAUGGCCAAAGUCAGUGUUUGCAAGUGUUCUACUUGUCUGGAAAUGUUGAAAAUGCAUUGUGAGCACGUUUCAGGCCAUUUCCUGUCAUUUGAGGGCGACUUUGCAAAAAGGGGUGUCCUACCGCUUUUGACCAGAGGUGGUGCUGCACAUGUCCGACGGUUAGGGUUAGGGUGAGACUUUGGGCAAGGGGUUAGGGUUAGGGCUGGAGCUAUGGUUAGGGUUAGUGGUGGAGCUAGGGUUGGAGCUAGGGUUAGGGUUAGGGUUGGAGCUAGGGUUAGGGUUAGGGUUAGGAAAAUGUGAAGAUUUUCCCAAAAUCUGAAGAUUUUCCUAAGUGCGGACCCAAUUUUUCACCUUCCAGAAUUGUGUUAGGAGCACGUUUCAGGCCACGGGGAGUCCAUAGAACCUGAUUGUGGGUGAAGUUUUCGGGGGUUGGAGCUUUGGGGCAGGAUAUAGGGAUAUGUGCCACUUUUGACAUGCCGGUUCAUUGCCUUUCCCAAUGAUGAACCGGGCUGAGAUUUGGUCUACCCCCCAUUUUCGGGUAUGCUGAAUCUAGAAAUAGUAAUGAACCAGCGAUCGGACAUUCCUAUCAAAAGUUAUGGCGAAGUGAAAAUUUCCCAUUGAAGAUGAAUGGGAGCGGAAAAAUGGCCAAAGUCAGUGUUUGCAAGUGUUCUACUUGUCUGGAAAUGUUGAAAAUGCAUUGUGAGCACGUUUCAGGCCAUUUCCUGUCAUUUGAGGGCGACUUUGCAAAAGGGGUGUCCUACCGCUUUUGACCAGAGGUGGCGCUGCACAUGUCCGACGGUUAGGGUUAGGGUGAGACUUUGGGCAAGGGGUUAGGGUUAGGGCUGGAGCUAUGGUUAGGGUUAGUUGUGGAGCUAGGGUUGGAGCUAGGGUUAGGGUUAGGGUUGGAGCUAGGGUUAGGGUUAGGGUUAGGAAAAUGUGAAGAUUUUCCCAAAAUCUGAAGAUUUUCCUAAGUGCGGACCCAAUUUUUCACCUUCCAGAAUUGUGUUAGGAGCACGUUUCAGGCCACGGGGAGUCCAUAGAACCUGAUUGUGGGUGAAGUUUUCGGGGGUUGGAGCUUUGGGGCAGGAUAUAGGGAUAUGUGCCACUUUUGACAUGCCGGUUCAUUGCCUUUCCCAAUGAUGAACCGGGCUGAGAUUUGGUCUACCCCCCAUUUUCGGGUAUGCUGAAUCUAGAAAUAGUAAUGAACCAGCGAUCGGACAUUCCUAUCAAAAGUUAUGGCGAAGUGAAAAUUUCCCAUUGAAGAUGAAUGGGAGCGGAAAAAUGGCCAAAGUCAGUGUUUGCAAGUGUUCUACUUGUCUGGAAAUGUUGAAAAUGCAUUGUGAGCACGUUUCAGGCCAUUUCCUGUCAUUUGAGGGCGACUUUGCAAAAAGGGGUGUCCUACCGCUUUUGACCAGAGGUGGCGCUGCACAUGUCCGACGGUUAGGGUUAGGGUGAGACUUUGGGCAAGGGGUUAGGGUUAGGGCUGGAGCUAUGGUUAGGGUUAGUUGUGGAGCUAGGGUUGGAGCUAGGGUUAGGGUUAGGGUUGGAGCUAGGGUUAGGGUUAGGGUUAGGAAAAUGUGAAGAUUUUCCCAAAAUCUGAAGAUUUUCCUAAGUGCGGACCCAAUUUUUCACCUUCCAGAAUUGUGUUAGGAGCACGUUUCAGGCCACGGGGAGUCCAUAGAACCUGAUUGUGGGUGAAGUUUUCGGGGGUUGGAGCUUUGGGGCAGGAUAUAGGGAUAUGUGCCACUUUUGACAUGCCGGUUCAUUGCCUUUCCCAAUGAUGAACCGGGCUGAGAUUUGGUCUACCCCCCAUUUUCGGGUAUGCUGAAUCUAGAAAUAGUAAUGAACCAGCGAUCGGACAUUCCUAUCAAAAGUUAUGGCGAAGUGAAAAUUUCCCAUUGAAGAUGAAUGGGAGCGGAAAAAUGGCCAAAGUCAGUGUUUGCAAGUGUUCUACUUGUCUGGAAAUGUUGAAAAUGCAUUGUGAGCACGUUUCAGGCCAUUUCCUGUCAUUUGAGGGCGACUUUGCAAAAGGGGUGUCCUACCGCUUUUGACCAGAGGUGGCGCUGCACAUGUCCGACGGUUAGGGUUAGGGUGAGACUUUGGGCAAGGGGUUAGGGUUAGGGCUGGAGCUAUGGUUAGGGUUAGUUGUGGAGCUAGGGUUGGAGCUAGGGUUAGGGUUAGGGUUGGAGCUAGGGUUAGGGUUAGGGUUAGGAAAAUGUGAAGAUUUUCCCAAAAUCUGAAGAUUUUCCUAAGUGCGGACCCAAUUUUUCACCUUCCAGAAUUGUGUUAGGAGCACGUUUCAGGCCACGGGGAGUCCAUAGAACCUGAUUGUGGGUGAAGUUUUCGGGGGUUGGAGCUUUGGGGCAGGAUAUAGGGAUAUGUGCCACUUUUGACAUGCCGGUUCAUUGCCUUUCCCAAUGAUGAACCGGGCUGAGAUUUGGUCUACCCCCCAUUUUCGGGUAUGCUGAAUCUAGAAAUAGUAAUGAACCAGCGAUCGGACAUUCCUAUCAAAAGUUAUGGCGAAGUGAAAAUUUCCCAUUGAAGAUGAAUGGGAGCGGAAAAAUGGCCAAAGUCAGUGUUUGCAAGUGUUCUACUUGUCUGGAAAUGUUGAAAAUGCAUUGUGAGCACGUUUCAGGCCAUUUCCUGUCAUUUGAGGGCGACUUUGCAAAAGGGGUGUCCUACCGCUUUUGACCAGAGGUGGCGCUGCACAUGUCCGACGGUUAGGGUUAGGGUGAGACUUUGGGCAAGGGGUUAGGGUUAGGGCUGGAGCUAUGGUUAGGGUUAGUUGUGGAGCUAGGGUUGGAGCUAGGGUUAGGGUUAGGGUUGGAGCUAGGGUUAGGGUUAGGGUUAGGAAAAUGUGAAGAUUUUCCCAAAAUCUGAAGAUUUUCCUAAGUGCGGACCCAAUUUUUCACCUUCCAGAAUUGUGUUAGGAGCACGUUUCAGGCCACGGGGAGUCCAUAGAACCUGAUUGUGGGUGAAGUUUUCGGGGGUUGGAGCUUUGGGGCAGGAUAUAGGGAUAUGUGCCACUUUUGACAUGCCGGUUCAUUGCCUUUCCCAAUGAUGAACCGGGCUGAGAUUUGGUCUACCCCCCAUUUUCGGGUAUGCUGAAUCUAGAAAUAGUAAUGAACCAGCGAUCGGACAUUCCUAUCAAAAGUUAUGGCGAAGAGUGAAAAUUUCCCAUUGAAGAUGAAUGGGAGCGGAAAAAUGGCCAAAGUCAGUGUUUGCAAGUGUUCUACUUGUCUGGAAAUGUUGAAAAUGCAUUGUGAGCACGUUUCAGGCCAUUUCCUGUCAUUUGAGGGCGACUUUGCAAAAGGGGUGUCCUACCGCUUUUGACCAGAGGUGGCGCUGCACAUGUCCGACGGUUAGGGUUAGGGUGAGACUUUGGGCAAGGGGUUAGGGUUAGGGCUGGAGCUAUGGUUAGGGUUAGUUGUGGAGCUAGGGUUGGAGCUAGGGUUAGGGUUAGGGUUGGAGCUAGGGUUAGGGUUAGGGUUAGGAAAAUGUGAAGAUUUUCCCAAAAUCUGAAGAUUUUCCUAAGUGCGGACCCAAUUUUUCACCUUCCAGAAUUGUGUUAGGAGCACGUUUCAGGCCACGGGGAGUCCAUAGAACCUGAUUGUGGGUGAAGUUUUCGGGGGUUGGAGCUUUGGGGCAGGAUAUAGGGAUAUGUGCCACUUUUGACAUGCCGGUUCAUUGCCUUUCCCAAUGAUGAACCGGGCUGAGAUUUGGUCUACCCCCCAUUUUCGGGUAUGCUGAAUCUAGAAAUAGUAAUGAACCAGCGAUCGGACAUUCCUAUCAAAAGUUAUGGCGAAGUGAAAAUUUCCCAUUGAAGAUGAAUGGGAGCGGAAAAUGGCCAAAGUCAGUGUUUGCAAGUGUUCUACUUGUCUGGAAAUGUUGAAAAUGCAUUGUGAGCACGUUUCAGGCCAUUUCCUGUCAUUUGAGGGCGACUUUGCAAAAAGGGGUGUCCUACCGCUUUUGACCAGAGGUGGCGCUGCACAUGUCCGACGGUUAGGGUUAGGGUGAGACUUUGGGCAAGGGGUUAGGGUUAGGGCUGGAGCUAUGGUUAGGGUUAGUUGUGGAGCUAGGGUUGGAGCUAGGGUUAGGGUUAGGGUUGGAGCUAGGGUUAGGGUUAGGGUUAGGAAAAUGUGAAGAUUUUCCCAAAAUCUGAAGAUUUUCCUAAGUGCGGACCCAAUUUUUCACCUUCCAGAAUUGUGUUAGGAGCACGUUUCAGGCCACGGGGAGUCCAUAGAACCUGAUUGUGGGUGAAGUUUUCGGGGGUUGGAGCUUUGGGGCAGGAUAUAGGGAUAUGUGCCACUUUUGACAUGCCGGUUCAUUGCCUUUCCCAAUGAUGAACCGGGCUGAGAUUUGGUCUACCCCCCAUUUUCGGGUAUGCUGAAUCUAGAAAUAGUAAUGAACCAGCGAUCGGACAUUCCUAUCAAAAGUUAUGGCGAAGUGAAAAUUUCCCAUUGAAGAUGAAUGGGAGCGGAAAAAUGGCCAAAGUCAGUGUUUGCAAGUGUUCUACUUGUCUGGAAAUGUUGAAAAUGCAUUGUGAGCACGUUUCAGGCCAUUUCCUGUCAUUUGAGGGCGACUUUGCAAAAAGGGGUGUCCUACCGCUUUUGACCAGAGGUGGCGCUGCACAUGUCCGACGGUUAGGGUUAGGGUGAGACUUUGGGCAAGGGGUUAGGGUUAGGGCUGGAGCUAUGGUUAGGGUUAGUUGUGGAGCUAGGGUUGGAGCUAGGGUUAGGGUUAGGGUUGGAGCUAGGGUUAGGGUUAGGGUUAGGAAAAUGUGAAGAUUUUCCCAAAAUCUGAAGAUUUUCCUAAGUGCGGACCCAAUUUUUCACCUUCCAGAAUUGUGUUAGGAGCACGUUUCAGGCCACGGGGAGUCCAUAGAACCUGAUUGUGGGUGAAGUUUUCGGGGGUUGGAGCUUUGGGGCAGGAUAUAGGGAUAUGUGCCACUUUUGACAUGCCGGUUCAUUGCCUUUCCCAAUGAUGAACCGGGCUGAGAUUUGGUCUACCCCCCAUUUUCGGGUAUGCUGAAUCUAGAAAUAGUAAUGAACCAGCGAUCGGACAUUCCUAUCAAAAGUUAUGGCGAAGUGAAAAUUUCCCAUUGAAGAUGAAUGGGAGCGGAAAAAUGGCCAAAGUCAGUGUUUGCAAGUGUUCUACUUGUCUGGAAAUGUUGAAAAUGCAUUGUGAGCACGUUUCAGGCCAUUUCCUGUCAUUUGAGGGCGACUUUGCAAAAGGGGUGUCCUACCGCUUUUGACCAGAGGUGGCGCUGCACAUGUCCGACGGUUAGGGUUAGGGUGAGACUUUGGGCAAGGGGUUAGGGUUAGGGCUGGAGCUAUGGUUAGGGUUAGUUGUGGAGCUAGGGUUGGAGCUAGGGUUAGGGUUAGGGUUGGAGCUAGGGUUAGGGUUAGGGUUAGGAAAAUGUGAAGAUUUUCCCAAAAUCUGAAGAUUUUCCUAAGUGCGGACCCAAUUUUUCACCUUCCAGAAUUGUGUUAGGAGCACGUUUCAGGCCACGGGGAGUCCAUAGAACCUGAUUGUGGGUGAAGUUUUCGGGGGUUGGAGCUUUGGGGCAGGAUAUAGGGAUAUGUGCCACUUUUGACAUGCCGGUUCAUUGCCUUUCCCAAUGAUGAACCGGGCUGAGAUUUGGUCUACCCCCCCAUUUUCGGGUAUGCUGAAUCUAGAAAUAGUAAUGAACCAGCGAUCGGACAUUCCUAUCAAAAGUUAUGGCGAAGUGAAAAUUUCCCAUUGAAGAUGAAUGGGAGCGGAAAAAUGGCCAAAGUCAGUGUUUGCAAGUGUUCUACUUGUCUGGAAAUGUUGAAAAUGCAUUGUGAGCACGUUUCAGGCCAUUUCCUGUCAUUUGAGGGCGACUUUGCAAAAGGGGUGUCCUACCGCUUUUGACCAGAGGUGGCGCUGCACAUGUCCGACGGUUAGGGUUAGGGUGAGACUUUGGGCAAGGGGUUAGGGUUAGGGCUGGAGCUAUGGUUAGGGUUAGUUGUGGAGCUAGGGUUGGAGCUAGGGUUAGGGUUAGGGUUGGAGCUAGGGUUAGGGUUAGGGUUAGGAAAAUGUGAAGAUUUUCCCAAAAUCUGAAGAUUUUCCUAAGUGCGGACCCAAUUUUUCACCUUCCAGAAUUGUGUUAGGAGCACGUUUCAGGCCACGGGGAGUCCAUAGAACCUGAUUGUGGGUGAAGUUUUCGGGGGUUGGAGCUUUGGGGCAGGAUAUAGGGAUAUGUGCCACUUUUGACAUGCCGGUUCAUUGCCUUUCCCAAUGAUGAACCGGGCUGAGAUUUGGUCUACCCCCCAUUUUCGGGUAUGCUGAAUCUAGAAAUAGUAAUGAACCAGCGAUCGGACAUUCCUAUCAAAAGUUAUGGCGAAGUGAAAAUUUCCCAUUGAAGAUGAAUGGGAGCGGAAAAAUGGCCAAAGUCAGUGUUUGCAAGUGUUCUACUUGUCUGGAAAUGUUGAAAAUGCAUUGUGAGCACGUUUCAGGCCAUUUCCUGUCAUUUGAGGGCGACUUUGCAAAAGGGGUGUCCUACCGCUUUUGACCAGAGGUGGCGCUGCACAUGUCCGACGGUUAGGGUUAGGGUGAGACUUUGGGCAAGGGGUUAGGGUUAGGGCUGGAGCUAUGGUUAGGGUUAGUUGUGGAGCUAGGGUUGGAGCUAGGGUUAGGGUUAGGGUUGGAGCUAGGGUUAGGGUUAGGGUUAGGAAAAUGUGAAGAUUUUCCCAAAAUCUGAAGAUUUUCCUAAGUGCGGACCCAAUUUUUCACCUUCCAGAAUUGUGUUAGGAGCACGUUUCAGGCCACGGGGAGUCCAUAGAACCUGAUUGUGGGUGAAGUUUUCGGGGGUUGGAGCUUUGGGGCAGGAUAUAGGGAUAUGUGCCACUUUUGACAUGCCGGUUCAUUGCCUUUCCCAAUGAUGAACCGGGCUGAGAUUUGGUCUACCCCCCCAUUUUCGGGUAUGCUGAAUCUAGAAAUAGUAAUGAACCAGCGAUCGGACAUUCCUAUCAAAAGUUAUGGCGAAGUGAAAAUUUCCCAUUGAAGAUGAAUGGGAGCGGAAAAAUGGCCAAAGUCAGUGUUUGCAAGUGUUCUACUUGUCUGGAAAUGUUGAAAAUGCAUUGUGAGCACGUUUCAGGCCAUUUCCUGUCAUUUGAGGGCGACUUUGCAAAAGGGGUGUCCUACCGCUUUUGACCAGAGGUGGCGCUGCACAUGUCCGACGGUUAGGGUUAGGGUGAGACUUUGGGCAAGGGGUUAGGGUUAGGGCUGGAGCUAUGGUUAGGGUUAGUUGUGGAGCUAGGGUUGGAGCUAGGGUUAGGGUUAGGGUUGGAGCUAGGGUUAGGGUUAGGGUUAGGAAAAUGUGAAGAUUUUCCCAAAAUCUGAAGAUUUUCCUAAGUGCGGACCCAAUUUUUCACCUUCCAGAAUUGUGUUAGGAGCACGUUUCAGGCCACGGGGAGUCCAUAGAACCUGAUUGUGGGUGAAGUUUUCGGGGGUUGGAGCUUUGGGGCAGGAUAUAGGGAUAUGUGCCACUUUUGACAUGCCGGUUCAUUGCCUUUCCCAAUGAUGAACCGGGCUGAGAUUUGGUCUACCCCCCAUUUUCGGGUAUGCUGAAUCUAGAAAUAGUAAUGAACCAGCGAUCGGACAUUCCUAUCAAAAGUUAUGGCGAAGUGAAAAUUUCCCAUUGAAGAUGAAUGGGAGCGGAAAAAUGGCCAAAGUCAGUGUUUGCAAGUGUUCUACUUGUCUGGAAAUGUUGAAAAUGCAUUGUGAGCACGUUUCAGGCCAUUUCCUGUCAUUUGAGGGCGACUUUGCAAAAGGGGUGUCCUACCGCUUUUGACCAGAGGUGGCGCUGCACAUGUCCGACGGUUAGGGUUAGGGUGAGACUUUGGGCAAGGGGUUAGGGUUAGGGCUGGAGCUAUGGUUAGGGUUAGUUGUGGAGCUAGGGUUGGAGCUAGGGUUAGGGUUAGGGUUGGAGCUAGGGUUAGGGUUAGGGUUAGGAAAAUGUGAAGAUUUUCCCAAAAUCUGAAGAUUUUCCUAAGUGCGGACCCAAUUUUUCACCUUCCAGAAUUGUGUUAGGAGCACGUUUCAGGCCACGGGGAGUCCAUAGAACCUGAUUGUGGGUGAAGUUUUCGGGGGUUGGAGCUUUGGGGCAGGAUAUAGGGAUAUGUGCCACUUUUGACAUGCCGGUUCAUUGCCUUUCCCAAUGAUGAACCGGGCUGAGAUUUGGUCUACCCCCCAUUUUCGGGUAUGCUGAAUCUAGAAAUAGUAAUGAACCAGCGAUCGGACAUUCCUAUCAAAAGUUAUGGCGAAGUGAAAAUUUCCCAUUGAAGAUGAAUGGGAGCGGAAAAAUGGCCAAAGUCAGUGUUUGCAAGUGUUGUACUUGUCUGGAAAUGUUGAAAAUGCAUUGUGAGCACGUUUCAGGCCAUUUCCUGUCAUUUGAGGGCGACUUUGCAAAAAGGGGUGUCCUACCGCUUUUGACCAGAGGUGGCGCUGCACAUGUCCGACGGUUAGGGUUAGGGUGAGACUUUGGGCAAGGGGUUAGGGUUAGGGCUGGAGCUAUGGUUAGGGUUAGUUGUGGAGCUAGGGUUGGAGCUAGGGUUAGGGUUAGGGUUGGAGCUAGGGUUAGGGUUAGGGUUAGGAAAAUGUGAAGAUUUUCCCAAAAUCUGAAGAUUUUCCUAAGUGCGGACCCAAUUUUUCACCUUCCAGAAUUGUGUUAGGAGCACGUUUCAGGCCACGGGGAGUCCAUAGAACCUGAUUGUGGGUGAAGUUUUCGGGGGUUGGAGCUUUGGGGCAGGAUAUAGGGAUAUGUGCCACUUUUGACAUGCCGGUUCAUUGCCUUUCCCAAUGAUGAACCGGGCUGAGAUUUGGUCUACCCCCCAUUUUCGGGUAUGCUGAAUCUAGAAAUAGUAAUGAACCAGCGAUCGGACAUUCCUAUCAAAAGUUAUGGCGAAGUGAAAAUUUCCCAUUGAAGAUGAAUGGGAGCGGAAAAAUGGCCAAAGUCAGUGUUUGCAAGUGUUGUACUUGUCUGGAAAUGUUGAAAAUGCAUUGUGAGCACGUUUCAGGCCAUUUCCUGUCAUUUGAGGGCGACUUUGCAAAAGGGGUGUCCUACCGCUUUUGACCAGAGGUGGCGCUGCACAUGUCCGACGGUUAGGGUUAGGGUGAGACUUUGGGCAAGGGGUUAGGGUUAGGGCUGGAGCUAUGGUUAGGGUUAGUUGUGGAGCUAGGGUUGGAGCUAGGGUUAGGGUUAGGGUUGGAGCUAGGGUUAGGGUUAGGGUUAGGAAAAUGUGAAGAUUUUCCCAAAAUCUGAAGAUUUUCCUAAGUGCGGACCCAAUUUUUCACCUUCCAGAAUUGUGUUAGGAGCACGUUUCAGGCCACGGGGAGUCCAUAGAACCUGAUUGUGGGUGAAGUUUUCGGGGGUUGGAGCUUUGGGGCAGGAUAUAGGGAUAUGUGCCACUUUUGACAUGCCGGUUCAUUGCCUUUCCCAAUGAUGAACCGGGCUGAGAUUUGGUCUACCCCCCAUUUUCGGGUAUGCUGAAUCUAGAAAUAGUAAUGAACCAGCGAUCGGACAUUCCUAUCAAAAGUUAUGGCGAAGUGAAAAUUUCCCAUUGAAGAUGAAUGGGAGCGGAAAAAUGGCCAAAGUCAGUGUUUGCAAGUGUUCUACUUGUCUGGAAAUGUUGAAAAUGCAUUGUGAGCACGUUUCAGGCCAUUUCCUGUCAUUUGAGGGCGACUUUGCAAAAAGGGGUGUCCUACCGCUUUUGACCAGAGGUGGCGCUGCACAUGUCCGACGGUUAGGGUUAGGGUGAGACUUUGGGCAAGGGGUUAGGGUUAGGGCUGGAGCUAUGGUUAGGGUUAGUUGUGGAGCUAGGGUUGGAGCUAGGGUUAGGGUUAGGGUUGGAGCUAGGGUUAGGGUUAGGGUUAGGAAAAUGUGAAGAUUUUCCCAAAAUCUGAAGAUUUUCCUAAGUGCGGACCCAAUUUUUCACCUUCCAGAAUUGUGUUAGGAGCACGUUUCAGGCCACGGGGAGUCCAUAGAACCUGAUUGUGGGUGAAGUUUUCGGGGUUGGAGCUUUGGGGCAGGAUAUAGGGAUAUGUGCCACUUUUGACAUGCCGGUUCAUUGCCUUUCCCAAUGAUGAACCGGGCUGAGAUUUGGUCUACCCCCCCAUUUUCGGGUAUGCUGAAUCUAGAAAUAGUAAUGAACCAGCGAUCGGACAUUCCUAUCAAAAGUUAUGGCGAAGUGAAAAUUUCCCAUUGAAGAUGAAUGGGAGCGGAAAAAUGGCCAAAGUCAGUGUUUGCAAGUGUUCUACUUGUCUGGAAAUGUUGAAAAUGCAUUGUGAGCACGUUUCAGGCCAUUUCCUGUCAUUUGAGGGCGACUUUGCAAAAGGGGUGUCCUACCGCUUUUGACCAGAGGUGGCGCUGCACAUGUCCGACGGUUAGGGUUAGGGUGAGACUUUGGGCAAGGGGUUAGGGUUAGGGCUGGAGCUAUGGUUAGGGUUAGUUGUGGAGCUAGGGUUGGAGCUAGGGUUAGGGUUAGGGUUGGAGCUAGGGUUAGGGUUAGGGUUAGGAAAAUGUGAAGAUUUUCCCAAAAUCUGAAGAUUUUCCUAAGUGCGGACCCAAUUUUUCACCUUCCAGAAUUGUGUUAGGAGCACGUUUCAGGCCACGGGGAGUCCAUAGAACCUGAUUGUGGGUGAAGUUUUCGGGGGUUGGAGCUUUGGGGCAGGAUAUAGGGAUAUGUGCCACUUUUGACAUGCCGGUUCAUUGCCUUUCCCAAUGAUGAACCGGGCUGAGAUUUGGUCUACCCCCCAUUUUCGGGUAUGCUGAAUCUAGAAAUAGUAAUGAACCAGCGAUCGGACAUUCCUAUCAAAAGUUAUGGCGAAGUGAAAAUUUCCCAUUGAAAAUGAAUGGGAGCGGAAAAAUGGCCAAAGUCAGUGUUUGCAAGUGUUGUACUUGUCUGGAAAUGUUGAAAAUGCAUUGUGAGCACGUUUCAGGCCAUUUCCUGUCAUUUGAGGGCGACUUUGCAAAAGGGGUGUCAUACCGCUUUUGACCAGAGGUGGCGCUGCACAUGUCCGACGGUUAGGGUUAGGGUGAGACUUUGGGCAAGGGGUUAGGGUUAGGGCUGGAGCUAUGGUUAGGGUUAGUUGUGGAGCUAGGGUUGGAGCUAGGGUUAGGGUUAGGGUUGGAGCUAGGGUUAGGGUUAGGGUUAGGAAAAUGUGAAGAUUUUCCCAAAAUCUGAAGAUUUUCCUAAGUGCGGACCCAAUUUUUCACCUUCCAGAAUUGUGUUAGGAGCACGUUUCAGGCCACGGGGAGUCCAUAGAACCUGAUUGUGGGUGAAGUUUUCGGGGUUGGAGCUUUGGGGCAGGAUAUAGGGAUAUGUGCCACUUUUGACAUGCCGGUUCAUUGCCUUUCCCAAUGAUGAACCGGGCUGAGAUUUGGUCUACCCCCCCAUUUUCGGGUAUGCUGAAUCUAGAAAUAGUAAUGAACCAGCGAUCGGACAUUCCUAUCAAAAGUUAUGGCGAAGUGAAAAUUUCCCAUUGAAAAUGAAUGGGAGCGGAAAAAUGGCCAAAGUCAGUGUUUGCAAGUGUUGUACUUGUCUGGAACUGUUGAAAAUGCAUUGUGAGCACGUUUCAGGCCAUUUCCUGUCAUUUGAGGGCGACUUUGCAAAAGGGGUGUCAUACCGCUUUUGACCAGAGGUGGCGCUGCACAUGUCCGACGGUUAGGGUUAGGGUGAGACUUUGGGCAAGGGGUUAGGGUUAGGGCUGGAGCUAGGGUUAGGGUUAGUUGUGGAGCUAGGGUUAGGGUUAGGGUUGGAGCUAGGGUUAGGGUUAGGGUUGGAGCUAGGGUUAGGGUUAGGGUUAGG